rnacentral:rRNA from 1 species
GACGAACGCUGGCGGCGUGCUUAACACAUGCAAGUCGAACGGAAAGGCCCUGCUUUUGUGGGGUGCUCGAGUGGCGAACGGGUGAGUAACACGUGAGUAACCUGCCCUUGACUUUGGGAUAACUUCAGGAAACUGGGGCUAAUACCGGAUAGGAGCUCCUGCUGCAUGGUGGGGGUUGGAAAGUUUCGGCGGUUGGGGAUGGACUCGCGGCUUAUCAGCUUGUUGGUGGGGUAGUGGCUUACCAAGGCUUUGACGGGUAGCCGGCCUGAGAGGGUGACCGGCCACAUUGGGACUGAGGUACGGCCCAGACUCCUACGGGAGGCAGCAGUGGGGAAUAUUGCACAAUGGGCGGAAGCCAGAUGCAGCAACGCCGCGUGCGGAAUGACGGCCUUCGGGUUGUAAACCGCUUUCGCCUGUGACGAGGCGUGAGUGACGGUAAUGGGUAAAGAAGCACCGGCUAACUACGUG